rnacentral:rRNA from 1 species
UACGGAGGGUGCAAGCGUUGUCCGGAAUCACUGGGCGUAAAGGGCGCGUAGGCGGCUCGGUAAGUAGGGGGUGAAAAUCCUGCGGCUUAACCGCAGGGCUGCCUUCUAAACUGUCGAGCUCGAGCACGGUAGAGGCAGAUGGAAUUCCCGGUGUAGCGGUGGAAUGCGUAGAGAUCGGGAAGAACAUCAGUGGCGAAGGCGGUCUGCUGGGCCGUUGCUGACGCUGAGGCGCGACAGCGUGGGGGAGCAAACAGG